rnacentral:rRNA from 1 species
ACGGAGGGUGCAAGCGUUGUUCGGAAUUACUGGGCGUAAAGGGCGCGUAGGUGGCUGUGUAAGUCAGAUGUGAAAUCUUUAGGCUUAACCUGUGAACUGCACUUGAUACUGCAUGACUCGAGUGCAGCAGAGGCAAACGGAAUUCCUGGUGUAGAGGUGAAAUGCGUAGAUAUCAGGAGGAACACCAGUGGCGAAGGCGGGGUGCUGGGCUGAAACUGACAUUGAGACGCGAAAGCUAGGGGAGCAAACAG